UACGUAGGGCGCAAGCGUUGUCCGGAAUUAUUGGGCGUAAAGAGCUCGUAGGCGGUUUGUCGCGUCUGUCGUGAAAGCUUGGGGCUUAACCCCAAGUCUGCGGUGGAUACGGGCAGACUAGAGGCAGGUAGGGGAGAACGGAAUUCCCGGUGUAGCGGUGAAAUGCGCAGAUAUCGGGAGGAACACCGGUGGCGAAGGCGGCAUCCUGGACCGGUAUUGACGCUGAGGCGCGAAAGCUAGGGGAGCAAACGGG
rnacentral:rRNA from 1 species